GGAUGGAGCUGUUGGAAGCACUUCCGGUCCACCGGAUGGUGUAAACACGGGGAACUGAAACGUUAGCUGUUAAGUUGUACAGUUUUGGUGCUUUAAAGGAUGGAGCUAAGGCUCUCAAAUAGUUCUUAUAGUUGCUUCUUGUGGCUAUACAGCUUUGCUUUAUGCGCAAUCAUAGGUCUGCAUCCAGUUGCUUCUAUAGAAGUGUACACUCCCGCUGAGGUGUUUGUAGAAAAUGGAACUGCUGGAAUACUUAAAUGUACUUUCAAAUCAAAUCAAGUGAUCAGUAGCCAAGCAUCAGUUUCCUGGUCAUUCAUUCCAGAGAGCUCUUUGGAUUCUACUGGUGAAACUAUCUUCCACUAUGCUGGCGGGAAAGAAUUCCCAGACUUCCCUUAACCUCAACUGACUGUGCCUUAGUCUUCCUCACUCAACAUCACUGCCUGACCUCACUAAAGGCUGUAUUCUUGAGGCUGAAUUGAGGCUAGAGGCUGAAUUCUCCUGUGUCAAAAUUUAGUGGAAAUCCAUUCCAGGGGGAACUAAAAGCACAUGCAUGUGUGAUUGGCAGGGGUCAACAAACCUUUGGCCAAACAAUAUAUUAUAUCAUAUCCCCUAAUAUACUGAUGGACGGAUUGUAUUAUUGGAUCCUCCAGAAAGAACACAGUCUGUCACAGUUGAUGAAGAUGAUGACGAUGAAGAGACCACAUCUGCUGUGACAGAAGUGGACAAUGCUAGUAGAUCCACUGAGUACAUACCUAGGGAUUUUCCCACAGAUGAGGGUCCUUCAACCUCAGCACACAAUCUAAGCAGGUUGCCAGCAAAGGAGCUGUAUAAUGUCCAUCUUCAAAAACAAAUAAGAAAAAGUGACAUGGAGAUGGACCUUAUACAGCUUCAAAUGGAAGAGAAAAGGCUCCUCAUUAAAAAAGCAGCACUUGAAAUUAAAUUACUGGAGCAUCGCCUUAAGGUGUUCCUCUGGGCCAUCUUCCUCAAUACAAGGAGGGUGGCUCUCUCCUCUUAUAGUGGCAAUAUUGUGAAGCACAACACAAGCCACUAAAAUGUCGCAUGCUCUCUCUGGACUAACCCGGAGCUUACGAAGACACUGAAACCGAGAUUUGAGGAUCCCUAUAGUCAUCUCCACCUUGGCCCGUGUUCGGCUGUGAGCCAGGUUAAACCGUGUCUGUGGUCCAGGCUCAGAUUCAGGGUAGGGUGUCAUUAAAUAGGGCAGACAAGUGUAUCCUCUGUCCCCCAGCAAGUAACCAUUGUACUGUUCUGUAAUGACUGAAGUGUACAACACAAAUAGAAUGUAAAAAAAAACAAUUGUAUAAAGCAAAACAUACCCUGCUGAAAUGUCUGGCAUAAUGAUGACUCGAGGAAAAUUCUGGCAGCAUGCACAGAUCCUGGCCAUUUUGCCUCGACAUUGGUAAUGAUUUGGGUUGCCUCACAUAUUACCUAGUUAGUGGAAAAAGUAAUGAUUUUAAGAAGGGAAAAAAUUAAGUUGUUACCUGCACAAUGAUACUAUGAAUAGAUUUCCUAUUGACAUAGUCUCCCUCAUUUAUUGGUGGAGCUUUAAUAGGAAUGUGAAUGCCAUCAAUGCACCCAAUUACAUUUGGAAACCAUGAAACAGAAAGUUAUGGAAGUAUGAAGUGUGUGUGCGCAUAAUGAAUACAUGUAUAGAUAUAAAUAAUAUGACUAAAUAUUAAAUAUAUGCCACUCUGUGGAAUUCGUCUUUAAUAACAAGCAGAGGUUUAUGGCCAGGGAACCGCACAAACGUGGGUAAGAACUGUUUAAGUGCCAGACAUACUGUACGAACGGCUCUACACACAGUUGCCUUUCCCACAUGCUCUGAAUCGCCGACACUGUACAAAAAAUGGGCAGACGCAAAAAACCUAAGUGCUAAGCGCAGAACCGCGGUUUGUCAUAUUUGCGAUAUGCGGUUUUAAAAGACGUGUUAAAUAAACUAACGAAUCUUUUGAAAAACGAUAACGCUCUUUCAAAUAUUCAUUAGGGUAUGCAAACACAUCAGUACGCGGUCUUAUAA